AUGUAAAAUUUAAAAAAUUUAAAUUACGUAUUUCCAAAGGCGAAAUUUACGGAAUUACUUUAUACGAGUUAUCCAAUUUUUAUCUCAGAACCAGGGAAACGGUAUGUUUAUGAAUUCAAACUGUAAUCUAUGACAAGACUCGGCCGGGUCAACUUGGCAAAUAAUUAAUUUUUUGAAAAUUUUCAUUUGUUUUCCAGCAAUAAAAAGUUGGAAGUUUCUCGCAGAAAUCCUGGCAUGACCUUUAGCUGCAUUCUGGUGAAGAGUGCUGUGUGAUCUGGUGGAGAUGACCUGAACUUGCUUUGUGCUGCAAUCUCUUGUACAUGUACCACCAGAUUCCAGGAAUGUGAUAACUCAACUUUACUUUCAUCAUAGAGGUGUUGUGGUCUAGUGGAUAAGUCAUCCGACUGCAGAUCACAAGGUACAGGGUUCAAGUUCUGCUGCAGCACUAAUGUCCUUUGGCGAGACGUUAAUCUACAUUUGUCACUCUCCACCCAGGUGUUAAAUGGGUACCCGGUAGGAUGCAAAAGUUAAUGUAGUUGGAUGAGCAAGUGUGCGUUUGUAAAAUGGGGACUGGGCGGAAUGCUCCCCAGGGAGUGAAGAACAUGCAUACAUUGUGUGCUGGCAAGCCUAAAUCAGAUGACUGGGUAAUGAUAUAUAUAUAUCUGUAAAGCACUUAGACACAUCGUUUUAUUGAUGUAUCAUGUGCUAUAUAAAAACAGAAUAUUAUUAUUAUUACACCUGUAAGAACAUCAAGAUUUCAAGGUUAAGAAUUUCAUAAUUAUAAAAAGCAAAGUGAUGAAUGAAAAAUAUAAAAGAUUCAGCCUAAUUUAAUUGUCAAUAAAUUGAUGCAAAUGAAUGUAAAACCUUUCAGGAUUCUAUGGUUACACUGAUGGAGCAUGCUUACAUGUUGUAAUUAUGAUUCAUAUCCAAGAUAUUUUUAUUAUCUUUUGCUAUUUGCCCACUUUUGUAAAAUAGAAUAUUUCAAGCUACCACAUCUGGUUAAAGCUACAAUAGCUGACAGUUGGGCAAGGAUGUUCAAUUUGUUUUGGUGCCAAUGGGUGCCGGCUUAAUGUGCAUAUGUAUAGUGUUGGGUUCAUGAUCAUACAUCAUGUUGAGCCCUUACUGUGUUGAACAUUACCUCUUUAAGUGGUUAUUUAUAUUAGGUAUUGAAGAUCAGUACAAGUUCAAGGCAAAGUUACCAUAAGCGCAUUACAAAUUUAGUACAUUGACAAGGGGCAUUUAAUAACAAUUAGUGAACUGGCCGCAUUGUAUUAGAGAGUUUUUUUUAAUUGUGAUACUGUAUCUUAAACUUUUGAUGAAGGAAUAACGCACUGUAAAUACAAAUAAUU